rnacentral:tRNA from 3 species
AAGGAAGGCCAUGAGGCAAUAAGCACUGCUAAUACUUAUACCCACGGUUAAAUUCCGUGGUUUCCUUA